rnacentral:tRNA from 1 species
GCCCAGUUAGCUCAGUGGUAGAGCACUCCCUUGGUAAGGGAGAGGUCCCGGGUUCGAGUCCCGGACUGGGCU